UCUCGUAUUCACUGAACAUUG
rnacentral:piRNA from 1 species